rnacentral:lncRNA from 1 species
UGGGAUGAAAGAUGAGUUUCAGGUUGGCUAAAAGCCUAAAUUCACAUAGUUAAUGAGUCAUUCUAGGUUUGUUUGGCAUGCCUAUGGAUGUACUUGUGCUUUUUUAGCUGUCAAGUAUGAAUUGAGAUCUAACAUAGUAGAUUCUUAUCCAAAAAUAUAUGUUUUACACUGUUUCUAUUAGAUGGUUGUUAUUUUUUCUUCUAAGACAAAUGGAUGUGACAAAUGGCAGCUAUGGGGUUGAACCCUGAAAAGCAUAUGGGGAAAGAUAUCUCUUUCUUGUACUCAUACCUCCAUAAAUUGAAAGAGUACGUAAGGAAG